CAAGACCUUGCGCUUUUGGAGCGGCCGAUGCCUGAUUAGCUAGUUGGUGAGGUAAAGGCUUACCAAGGCUUCGAUCAGUAGCUGGUCUGAGAGGACGACCAGCCACACUGGGACUGAGACACGGCCCAGACUCCUACGGGAGGCAGCAGUGGGGAAUUUUGGACAAUGGGGGAAACCCUGAUCCAGCCAUGCCGCGUGAGUGAAGAAGGCCUCCGGGUUGUAAAGCUCUUUCAGCCGGAACGAAAAGGUUACGGCUAAUACCCGUGACAAAUGACGGUACCGGAAGAAGAAGCACCGGCUAACUACGUGCCAGCAGCCGCGGUAAUGCGUAGGGGGCAAUCGUUAAUCGGAAUUACUGGGCGUAAAGCGUGCGCAGGCGGUCUUGUAAGUCAGAUGAGAAAUCCCCGGGCUUAACCUGGGAACU
rnacentral:rRNA from 1 species